UACGUAGGGGGCAAGCGUUGUCCGGAUUUAUUGGGCGUAAAGAGCGUGUAGGCGGCUUUGCAAGUCCGUUGUGAAAACUCGAGGCUCAACCUCGAGACGCCGGUGGAAACUGCAAAGCUAGAGUCCGGAAGAGGAGAGUGGAAUUCCUGGUGUAGCGGUGAAAUGCGCAGAUAUCAGGAAGAACACCCGUGGCGAAGGCGGCUCUCUGGGCAUUAACUGACGCUGAGGAGCGAAAGCAUGGGGAGCGAACAGG
rnacentral:rRNA from 1 species